rnacentral:rRNA from 1 species
CAGUCGAGAAUAAUUCACAAUGGGGGCAACCCUGAUGGUGCAACGCCGCGUGGAGGAUGAAGGUCUUCGGAUUGUAAACUCCUGUCAUCCGGGAGUAAGACCUGACGGUGAAUAGCCGGCAGGGUUGAUAUUACCGGAAGAGGAAGGGACGGCUAACUUCGUGCCAGCAGCCGCGGUAAUACGAAGGUCCCGAGCGUUGUUCGGAAUCACUGGGCGUAAAGGGAGCGUAGGCGGCGCGGUAAGUCAGAUGUGAAAUCCCGGGGCUCAACCCCGGAACUGCAUCCGAUACUGCCGUGCUAGAGGAUUGGAGAGGUAGCUGGAAUUCUUGGUGUAGCAGUGAAAUGCGUGGAGAUCAAGAGGAACACUCGUGGCGAAAGCGAGCUACUGGACAAUAUCUGACGCUGAGGCUCGAAGGCCAGGGUAGCGAAAGGGAUUAGA